GACGAACGCUGGCGGCGUGCUUAACACAUGCAAGUCGAACGGAAAGGCCCUGCUUUUGUGGGGUGCUCGAGUGGCGAACGGGUGAGUAACACGUGAGUAACCUGCCCUUGACUUUGGGAUAACUUCAGGAAACUGGGGCUAAUACCGGAUAGGAGCUCCUGCUGCAUGGUGGGGGUUGGAAAGUUUCGGCGGUUGGGGAUGGACUCGCGGCUUAUCAGCUUGUUGGUGGGGUAGUGGCUUACCAAGGCUUUGACGGGUAGCCGGCCUGAGAGGGUGACCGGCCACAUUGGGACUGAGAUACGGCCCAGACUCCUAAGGGAGGCAGCAGUGGGGAAUAUUGCAAAAUGGGCGGAAGCCUGAUGCAGCAACGCCGCGGGCGGGAUGACGGCCUUCGGGUUGUAAACCGCUUUCGCCUGUGACGAAGCGUGAGUGACGGUAAUGGGUAAAGAAGCACCGGCUAACUACGUG
rnacentral:rRNA from 1 species